rnacentral:rRNA from 1 species
GACGAACGCUGGCGGCGUGCUUAACACAUGCAAGUCGAACGGAAAGGCCCCCACCUUGGUGGGGGUGCUCGAGUGGCGAACGGGUGAGUAACACGUGGGUGAUCUGCCCUGUACUUCGGGAUAAGCUUGGGAAACUGGGUCUAAUACCGGAUAGGACCAUGGUUUAGUGUCUCAUGGUGGAAAAAUCAUUGUUUUGGUGCAGGAUGAGCUCGCGGCCUAUCAGCUUGUUGGUGGGGUAAUGGCCUACCAAGGCGUCGACGGGUAGCCGGCCUGAGAGGGUGGACGGCCACGUUGGGACUGAGAUACGGCCCAGACUCCUACGGGAGGCAGCAGUGGUGAAUAUUGCACAAUGGGCGCAAGCCUGAUGCAGCGACGCCGCGUGGGGGAUGACGGCCUUCGGGUUGUAAACUCCUUUCGUUAGGGACGGAGCCACACCUUUUUUGGGUGUGGUGACGGUACCUUUGUGAAGAAGCACCGGCUAACUACGUG